UAGUUAAUUCUCAGUUUGGUAUCUUAAGGAAAAUUUGGACUCUGUAUUUUACUUUGGUCAGUCUUACUUGAUUCACGAGUUUAGCAAGGAUAUUGGAAUUUUUUGUUCAAUUGCCGAAAAUUAUUUUAUACUGCAUAAACAACAAACCUAAUAAAUCAGUGUUUGGAAUUUGAGCUAGCGUACUUUCAGACAUGUAUUUCAAUUGGGGGUACUUGCAUCAUUUUGCUGCUCUUUAACCAAAAAAAUUUGCAUAAACAUUUGCUCCUUCAUCUUCCAAUUUUCCUCCUUUUGUUCUUCACUUUUGGAUUUCUUGUGAAGUUUCUCAAUUUUCUGUUAAAUAACUUUCUGGCGGACGCGGGUCCUCUUUCAGUUAUUUUUUCUAUUGACCCCUAAUUUUUGGUGUGAUCUAGUUGGCGUAUGUUUAUGUUUUCCUCUAUUUUUCAUGAAUGAUUUCAGUAGCUUAGGUAAAAAUAAAUUGCAAAAGUAUAUUGGACUUUCGUACUUCAAUACACACUGACUAGCUCAACAUUAUUGGCUUAUGACACUUUAGAUAUGCUGCAAUUAGAUACUAAGCUUUAAGAAUUUAUCAAAUGAGUAGUUUUUAUCAUACAUAAUUGGCAGGUGAUACUUUCUGUAGCAAUCAAUAUGAAGAAAUUUUGAGUAUUUAAACUUGAAUGUAUAGAUUACCAUUAGUAAGAGCUUACACCUUAACAAUUUUUUAAUCAAUAAUUGUGAGAUAACCUCUAUUUUGCAAAUUGUUAUAAGUUCUGAAAAUAAAAAAAGAAAAUCUUGCAAUACAAAGUCUUAUUCUUGCACUCUUUUUCUCUAAUUUCAGUUACUUCAUCGUUAUUGAGCUUACCAACUAUUAUUCUUGAGCCAGUGUUGUCUGAGAGGUGAUAUAAAAAAAAAUCAGCAGCAAGUUCCAAAAGCUUUAUAUAUUGUUGCAGUCGUACUCAGAAUGCAUUUCCAUGAUUGCCCUGUUAGGAUAAGUAAAACAAUCCCUUGGUUUCAAUUUAUGUGUCUUACUUUCGUUUUAAGUUUAUUAAUAAAGAAUGUCUUUUUCUAUGUUCAUAACUCUUAAAUUUUAUUAUUCUACGUGACAUGUUUAAGACCACAAGGUUCAAAUGACAUUUUGAUGUAUAGCACAUAUAAUUAGUCAAAAGAAGAUAUUUACAUGUGAAGGACCUUAAUUUCAUGAACAAAAAACAGAAAAUUUUGCGAGAAGAUACUUUCAAAAUAUAGUAUUCUCAUUUAAUAUUCUAUCUCUAGGAAGGACUCUAAUGCUCAUUACUUUAGUGUUUUCACAAUGUCAGUAAAUAAGACACACCUUUUGUUAAUAAAAAUGCAUGAACCCUCAGAGAACUAAAAUAAAAGUCGUAGUGGUAUUUCAGUGGUUAAGAUGUGAAGAAAAGAUGGCAAAAAGGAUUGGCCACAAUAGUAGCCAGUAGCCCUUUUAUAAGAUCAGUUUUCAGGUCUUGACACAUUUAAUUAAUAUUAUUAUUUUAAUCAAUUCUUUGGUAAUGUUUUGAAGAUGAUGGAUGAUGCCAUGAGAGUACUCCGCUGGUAAAUGGACCCUUUUUUUUGUUGUUGAUAAAUUAGUACUUUUCUCAUUGUUAUUAAUUUAUAUCCAUUUUUCAUGGCCUCUUUCCAUUUGAAGUUAAAAAGGUUGAUCAUGUUUCCAAAUGGAGGUAAAAUUUUGAAUUUCUCUAAAAAUAAUACCUUUGAUUUUAUUUUUAUUUUAGACUUCUUUAUGUAUCUAGAUUUGAGCCUUUCUUCUUAUUUUUCUUUCAAUCAAGUCUGUCAUUUAAUAAUUUUUAAUGGGUGAUACAUAUAUUUGUUUUUUCUUCCGUCAUGCUUCUUUGUUCAUUCCUUACAGGAGAUUAAUUGUUUGUUCAAACACUACUUAUGAAUUAAUUUUAUGUUUGAUAUGCCUAAAGUAACUAAAGAAGUUUAUGUUUCUUUUCCUUCCUUUUUUUUAACACAGGACUUCUAUACCUUGCAUAGCAUUCACCAAUUCAAGAGCUAUAUUAUUUAGCACUACUAGACAAUAUUAAAUCAGAUGGAAGGAACAUAUUUGGAAGGCGCCAGACGCAAGAAAAGGACUUGCCUUAUGUUUCUGAUGAUUGUGAAACCAAAAAUAGUCAGGUCCAACCCCCCACCCCCCCAACAAACAAAGAAUAGAACUUUUGUAUUGUCAUUGUUAUAGUUAUUAUUGCAGUUUUCUAAAUAUGGAUGAUGUUUUAUGAGCAGAAGGAGAAGAUGAUGAGAGAGUUUAACAAAGCCUAAGUAGCUAUCCAAUCGUUGGAUGAUUCAAUUUCUAAGAUUCAAAGUGAGUUGCCUUCAACUAAGGAUCCUCUAAUUCCACGGAUAACUGAAGAGGUUCCUUUCUUGAGCACAUAUUCUGGAGGAUGUAGGCCGAGAAAGAAAACAUUUAUGGUUAUUGGGAUAAACACCACCUUCAGUAGUAGAAAAAGGCGCGAUUCUAUUAGACAGACUUGGAUGCCUCAAGGUGCAAAGCUAUAUAGAUUAGAGCAAGAAAAGGGGAUCGUUGUGCGUUUCAUGAUAGGCUACAUAGCAAGAAGGGAAUAAUCGUUAGACUUGUUUGAGAGCUUAUUAUAAGACCAGCUGAAGGAUAAGUUGAAAUAUUAUGUAUUAGUAGAUUUUAAGUUGCUCACCCUCCUCUCAAUGAAAAAGAGAAAGUGAGACUUGAGAAGGACAUGUUGAUUUUAGAAUCAUACAUCUAUUUGAAUAAUAGAAGCAAUUACAGUUCUCAAGGGAAUGGUGAAAAGAUGUGCAUGGAAGAACUCAUGUUUGUCCAUUAUGAUUCAUUGUGCUUGCACAUAACCGAACAUGGAUAGAAAGACGAACUUUAAAGUUUAAUUACAGAAUUCUACGAAAGAUGAACCCGAACCAAAAGCUUUUAUGGAAAAUACUGUUCAUAAAGAGGGUGCCAAAAUGAACAAAUUUUUUGAAAAGGCGUCAACGUUUGUCUAUGUAAUGGAACUGAUUUCUUUGUAUUACUCACAUUAACAAAUUUUAUGUGAAAGCUUUUCUUUAGUCCAAAUUUCAUUAUUCCCAAUGAAACCAACUAUUGGAUUUCAUAUUGUUGAAGCUUUUGCCGGUAGGUAAUAGAAUGAAACUAAAUAAUCAUAUGCCUGGUCAUGUUGGGUGAAGGUUUUUACAGUGCUACAAAGAUUUUAGAAUGUUUGAUUGAUGAAACUUUCAUAUUUCAUUUUCAAUAUCAUGUUAUUAAGGAACAAUUGUAGUGUAAUUGUUUGGGCUUAGCUAGAAAAACAAUUUAAUUAUGCUGGUGAGCAUGGGCCUUGCUAAUCUAGUGUGUAUAUAUAUAUAUAUAUAUUACUAAUUACUAUUAUUUAUAAGCCAACAAACAUGGACGAACACUGCAUCACCUGAUAGUACAAAAGGUUACGUGAGUUGUACUAUCAACAACUUAAUUUUUCAGCCUAGGUAGACACGUGUAUUGCAGCCCAAUAAUUUGUUUUUUCUGGGGACACCUGUCUACCUUUUUCAUUUUUUUGUUUCCGGGACUUAUUUUCUCUUCUCCUCACUUACUUACUUUACAUCUUCUCUGUCAACUAUUCUCUCUGCAAACUUGUGAGAUUUUGGGCAUUUUUUGGUGAGAAUUGGAUGGAUUUUCCCCAUAUGAUGUUGCAUUAUUAUCAUCGAUUUAAUAAUUUGAGUACAAAAGCAUUUUAUAGCGAUGGUGACCCGAUUGAAGUGCAAUGAUAAGGUGAUGGAAGAAAAAUAGUAUUCUGGCACCACAACUGAAAAGGUCACCUACUUUUAUUUCAAGUUCUUAUGAAGUAAAUUCCUUUGUGAUUCAAAGAUGUUUGAUAUAUCAUAUACUUGCCAAUUAGUACUUUGGAUUCUUGCUCACUAAUAAUUAUAUUCUGACUGAGGUAAGGUGAUCGAAUAACAAUCAAGGUCUAAAACAUAACAACAAGCAGGCUAAACUAUGAGAAGGGUUGAUUUCGGAUUCUCAUAAUUUUGAAGUCCUUCAGGUACAAUUUCACUUACUUUUUCCGGGCUCUUUAAAUUUUGGCUCCUUUAUCUUAAAAAAGAAUUAUAAUGUUCUAUUUUGGGUACUGUUAAUGGUAAGUGGCGGAUUAUGAUGUUGCAUUUUGUAUUUAGAGCUGUUCUUGGAUAGUUAGUAUUGGGAUACAAAACUUGAAAACACUUCAACUCUAGAUUUAACUUUAAUAAGUGACGUAGAUUUCUUUUGUU